rnacentral:misc_RNA from 1 species
CCAUGGGGCUCCGGCCCCGUCAAGAUACCACCCCUUGCAUUUCGAGCACCUUCUGUUUCCUCGGCGGGCCCGCCCGCCAACGGGGACCACACCAAAACCUUCUGUAGUUGCAGUAAACGUCUAAAAAACAAAUAAAUCA